UUUAAGCAAUUGCGAGUCGAGAGGUGCAAGACCUCGGCGCACUGCUCAGUAACACGUGGACAACCUACCCUGUGGAGGGGGAUAACCCCGGAAAACUGGGGAUAAUACCCCAUAGGUUAGGGAGGCUGGAAUGCCCCCUAGCUCAAAGGUCCGCCGCCACAGGAUGGGUCUGCGGCCGAUUAGGUUGUUGUUGGGGUAACGGCCCAACAAGCCUUUGAUCGGUACGGGUUGUGGGAGCAAGAGCUCGGAGAUGGAUUCUGAGACACGAAUCCAGGCCCUACGGGGCGCAGCAGGCGCGAAAACUUUACAAUGCGAGAAAUCGUGAUAAGGGAACCCCGAGUGCCCGUAAAUUCGGGCUGUCCGCCAGUGCAAAAAACUGGUGAAGAAAGAGCCGGGCAAGACCGGUGCCAGCCGCCGCGGUAAUACCGGCGGCUCGAGUGGUGGCCACUAUUACUGGGCUUAAAGCGUCCGUAGCUUGGUUGUUAAGUCUCCUGGGAAAUCCAUCGGCUCAACCGAUGGGCGUUCAGGAGAUACUGGCAACCUAGGGACCGGGAGAGGUGAGAGGUACUCCAGGGGUAGGAGUGAAAUCCUGUAAUCCUUGGGGGACCACCUGUGGCGAAGGCGUCUCACUAGAACGGCUCCGACAGUGAGGGACGAAAGCUGGGGGAGCAAACCGGAUUAGAUACCCGGGUAGUCCCAGCUGUAAACGAUGCGCGUUAGGUGUAUCGGUGACCACGAGUCACCGAGGUGCCGAAGAGAAAUCGUGAAACGUGCCGCCUGGGAAGUACGGUCGCAAGGCUGAAACUUAAAGGAAUUGGCGGGGGAGCACCACAACAGGUGGAGCCUGCGGUUUAAUCGGACUCAACGCCGGGAAGCUCACCGGAUAAGACAGCUGAAUGAUAGCCGGGUUGAAGACUCUGCUUGACUAGCUGAGAGGAGGUGCAUGGCCGUCGUCAGUCGUACUGAGA
rnacentral:rRNA from 1 species